AAAAUGUUAGUGAGUUAGAAUAGAGUUAUGUUGAAUUGAAGUUUGAAGUUUUAACAACAAUCAGAUGGUGUCAGGAGCUUUGGUUGAUUGCUAUGAGGUCAAAAAUUUAGAUGGAAAACCGAUUAUGAGAACUAUGCAGGUUAAUUGUUUGUGUUGCUGUAUUGAAGUCCAACUGUUAUGAAUAUCACAAACUAGUGGCAUUGAUUUGUGUUAAUGGGAUUAAUAUGCCAUGAAGCUAACAUGUUAGUGAAAAUGCAUGAAUUGUUAGCUUCAAAUAUGAAUGAUACUGAUCUUUCAAUGUUAUUUCAAUUGAAUCAAAAACCAAUUAAAACUAUAUGUUAAAUUAGCUUGGAUUGGAUGUUAGUGAUUAGGGUUAUAUUAACUUGUUAAUGAAUUGUGCUAAGUGAAUUGUUAUUGGUAUUGUGUCAAUAACUUAGCCAUAAUGUGUUUGAAUUUUAGGGAGGUUAGAAGCAUACCUAUACUGAUUAGAUCAUGUUGGUUAGUUUGAACUGGUUUUGUUAGGUUUAAAUGUGUGUGUAUACAUUGAGUAGCCAUGACUUAUUUAAUUGCAUGUUGUGUAAGUCAUGUAAAUGUACUUAAUAUCAUUGUCCUGGAUUAUGAUGAAAUGCAUAUGUAUGGUGCUUAUGUUAUUGAUUAUGUAUGUAUGUUUGGACACUAAAACGUCCCUACCAUACCCGAACUUUUGAGGAUAUGCUCAUGAAGAUUUUGGUCAAGGCAUGGAAUUAAGACAUGGGUCAAGGAACAUGUUAUGGCACAUAAACAUUUUUUUUCUUUGAAAGACACCAAUGGUCAUAAAAAGCUUGAAGGUUUUGGAGGGAUGCCUUAGAAUAGGUUUUAGAUUUAGGUAGUUGACUAUGAUCACUGUUUGACCAAAAAGUAAAUAGUUGACCAAAAGUCAACUUUAGGUAAAAAUGUGUAAUUUCGCGUGUAAACUUGUAAUUUGGAUCUUUUUGUCCUGAAAUGGAAGUUUUUGGUAAUGAAAUGGCCUUUUGAAAUGAAUUGUGUAAGUAACUUGUGUCUCCCUCCAAAAUUGAAUCUAAAUUUGAUCUUGUAUUUGAAUGGCUUUGCAUAUUGAUUUUGCUUCUUCAAAUU
rnacentral:lncRNA from 1 species